AGCGUGAACACGUGCUUCAGAAAAGCUACUUUCCUACUGCCUUCGGCACUGACAGCUCAUACUCCUUGAAAAUCUGUUUAUUAAUGAGGAAGAGUUUUGCAUGUCAUAAGUAGCCCAAACACUGUAUAAAAACUAAGUGCCAAUACCACAGCUGUGUUUUUGUUGUUGCUGAGCAGGGCCUGCAGAACACCAACGCCUUCAUGAUCUGCAGCACCAGCAAGUAGGAUAGGAGUGGGCAAGAGAUGACUUCAGCAGAUCAAAGGGACAUUACAGACUGUGUAACAACACACUCAGCAAUGAAACUAAAAUUGAUGUCUCAAAAAAAAAAAAAAAAAGUUCCUCAGGGACUCUCUGGACAUUGGUCUGUCAGUCCAAAUCCAUCUUGGAUGCAACAGCAUUGCGUGUUCCUGCAACUGAAAUCACUGGGCAAGAGAUAGGGUCACAAAGAGCAGCAUCAAGUCCUCACUGAGUGAAGUCAGAUCAGUGAUUGAUAGCAUCAACCUGUGGGUCUGGACUUCUGCUUUUGCAUAUCAACUACAGAGCAUUUUCUGUCUUCAUGGAGGGUUCUUGUAAAGGAUUUGGACAGGCUGCUAUUGAAUCAGAUCAGAAUGGGAUAGUGGAGACAGCAGGAGAACAGCCAAGUGAGGCUAUAAAGUGCUUGAUUUGUGCUGCUGUAAAUCUGCUUCUGCACAGGUCUACUGAGUUCAGGACAUUUAUCUGAGGUUGGACUUACUCCACAUGCAUGUCUCUCACAUCGCUUGCUGCAGUUCUGUUUAUCUCAGUCUCAUUUCCCUCUACUGAUCUGGACUGUAGCUACAUUUGCCUUGGAACCAUGCUCAUCUGGCCUGCAACACCACAAACUAUAGGUUGGCCCCAUCUGAAGUCAUGUGUGACAUGACAGACGCAUUAUUAUUUUCAUCUUUUCUUGGGAUAUGGAUCCCUGACUUCGCUGGAAAUGUAAAUUAAGUACAACUAAUAUUAUUGCACAUACUUUUCAUUUUACGGAGUUGAUCAUUGAUAUGUUGGUGUAACUGCACCACAAACAUUAUAUUUUUCCUUAUGUCCAUAAUCCUGUCUAACAAUUCCACAUGGUAUCUGUAAUAGGACUGCCAAUCAAAAAGGAGCCAGGGAAAAACACUAUCUCUAAGUACAAGGUGGCUUUGGAACACUUUCAACAGAGAUAAUUCUCAGACUAAACAGCACCUGCAAAGCUGCCAAAACAACUGGCAACUGGGUUCACCAGGAAGCCAGCUUCCAACACUAAUAACAUGUUAUCUGCCAUCUGAUAACUAGGUCCUGGGAAAUACAGAAAAGCUACAAAUUCUCAGUUCAAGUGGCACUAAGUUAUGAAGGAUCUUGUUAAAAUAUCAGGUGCAAACUCUCUAUGUAAUUUAUAAUGUGUGUGUAAUACUAUACUUUACUUAAGUAGCCUCAAAAUCGUUUUCACUGAAGUCAAUCCAGUACACUUCAUGUCUAACCCAUUGAGAGCAUUUGAUCACAGAACAGUUGCACGUGUAUUUCACCAGUAAGAAUACUUAAAAACACUGGUGAUGCUUAUGUUCCACUUCUUAAUUCUGAUACAUGCCUAAAAUUAAGAAAGAAUUAAGUGUGCGGACAUGGAUAUAGAUGUGCAAAUGCAUAUCAUGUGCAUAUAUAUGCAUACUCAUAUGUACAUGCAUACAUGUAUGCAUAAAUAUAUAUAUAAUCUGUAUGCACAAAUACAAAUAAUUUACAUGCAUAUACAUCCAGAUAGAUAGCUUACAUGUAGCAAAAGACUCCCAGGAAGGCACUGCAAGAAUCAGUGUUACUUCUUAACACUGUAGUAACGCAAAAGUAAUACAGCAUUACUUCUUAAGGCACUGAUUAUCACAGUGUCACUUCUUCAUGUAAUUCAGUAUUCACUUCUUCUUAGGAGUAGGAGCUGCAUGAACCUGUAUAUGAUAUGGAGCUCACACUCUUAUCUACUUACUCCGCCAAUGUUAAUUCAAGGACAGAAGAUGUACAUUUUUACUCAGAUAUAUGUAACAGCCGUUGAAGGUGAUGUUCUGCCUGCAAAUUUAGGAGAAUAGAGAACAUUUUAUAAGCACGAAUGUUUUCAACAUAGAAUGCACUAUAGAAUGCCAGUGAGCUGGUAUUUAGUACGAAAAACUGGUUAUUGAUUUGCAUUACGUCUCCAAAUGUUUUGAAUCUUCUAACUUCUUUCAGCGGGAUCACCCUGAAAUCUCUGGGGCUAAUCUCACCCAUGUGAACAGUGCCAGAAGAUUGUCUUCACUGCAGAGUGAAAGAGAAACUAAGUAAAAGCAGAGAUGGCAUUAAUCAUAAACAGCUUUAUCAGACAAAGGCCAUUAUGUAUAUCUGUGUACAAAUCUGACACAUUUUUCCUUGCCUUUGACAGUCCUGUGGAAAGGUUUAAAUGUACAAGGUAUGACUAAAGAUUUCAGAAACUCAUUACUGAAUAUUUCUUAAUCUUGUUCUCUUAUAAUUGUAGAACAAAUGGAAAUAAAUUAAUGUCUUU
rnacentral:lncRNA from 7 species